UACGUAGGGUGCAAGCGUUGUCCGGAAUUAUUGGGCGUAAAGAGCUCGUAGGCGGUCUGUCGCGUCUGCUGUGAAAACUCAGGGCUUAACCCUGAGCUUGCAGUGGGUACGGGCAGACUAGAGUGCGGUAGGGGAGACUGGAAUUCCUGGUGUAGCGGUGAAAUGCGCAGAUAUCAGGAGGAACACCGAUGGCGAAGGCAGGUCUCUGGGCCACUACUGACGCUGAGAAGCGAAGGCAUGGGGAGCGAACAGG
rnacentral:rRNA from 1 species